AGCCACACAUCCAUCGAACAUCCAACAGACACACAUCAGACACAAUAAGCUUCUUUCACCACUAUAUUUGUGCUGUUUAAUCACUGAUUGACUCUUUACCCACCAUCCUGAUAAUAUAAAAGUGGAAACAUGUGCAAACUCACUCUAACUGCAGGUCUCUGUUUGAUCAUCGCCAGCUUGGCUGCAGUGCCACCAAACACCUGUAAUGGAAGGAUCAGUGGGCUAUACCCCAACCCUGCUGACCCACAUUCUUUUUACAAUUGUGGUAAUGGAAUAGCCUACCUCCAAAACUGCCCAUCAAAUCUGGUCUUUGACCCAACAUGCAGCUGCUGUAACUAUCCCACAACCAAUCCACCAAAAAUCAAUAAAUUCUGUAAUGGAAAGAGCAAUGGGCAAUACACUAACAAUGCUGACCCAUCUUCUUUUUACAAUUGUUGGGAUGGAAGAACCUACCUCCAAACCUGCCCAUCAAAUCUGGUCUUUAACCAAAAAUGCAGCUGCUGUAGCUAUCCCC